UCCCAUAUGGUGUAGUGGUUAGCAUAACGCUCUCUCAUCCGAGAGUGCAGCGUAGACCCUGGUUCGAUUCCUGGUAUGGGAG
rnacentral:tRNA from 1 species